rnacentral:lncRNA from 1 species
CCGCCAUUAACUCGGAGCCCGGCGCAGUGGAAAGCGGGCCAAGAAGCAGAGGUCCAGGUUCCAACUCUUGAUUCUAUCACAAAACACUGCACCCGAGGCAGCCAGGCAGCUUCCGAAGACCUCUUGGAUGCAGCAACAUCAGAGGGGUGAUUACCCCCAAUUGCCAAAGAGGUUUCCAGCGCUGGAAGGAAAUUUGGAGAUCAAGGCCGAGUUGGCCUCAGCCAAGUGAAAUGGGAAUCAGGACCAUUACAAAGAAAUUCAAUUAAAAUAAAAG